UACAGAGGUCCCAAGCGUUGUUCGGAUUCACUGGGCGUAAAGAGCGCGUAGGCGGUCCGGUAAGUCCGCUCUGAAAGUCCGGGGCUCAACCCCGGGAGGCGGGCGGAUACUGUCGGGCUAGAGUCCGGAAGAGGCGAGUGGAAUUCCUGGUGUAGCGGUGAAAUGCGCAGAUAUCAGGAGGAACACCAAUGGCGAAGGCAGCUCGCUGGGACGGUACUGACGCUGAGGCGCGAAAGCGUGGGGAGCAAACAGG
rnacentral:rRNA from 1 species